rnacentral:lncRNA from 1 species
GUAAUAUCCUGCCUGUAGUGUUGACCUUUUUGCAACUCACUUUUUUUUAAAUCUCCAGAUUGCUCAUGCAGAUAAACAUCCUCCCAUUCUGUGAGAAGGUAGAAAGUGAAACCCUUUACCAUCUCUUCCUUCGGUGAUUAAUAAAUAAAUGAACUAUAAAUACAGUGGUUUGAACUUCUCAGAAUAUAAGAGAAAAAUGAGUAUUCUGUCUGCAUCAUGAAGAUGAUGACUGGGUCUCCAGAGGACAGAGAGAGCCUGGCUUUCUGAUGGCAUUGGAG